AUGGAGGAGAUCUUGGCUGAAGAGCUUGAUGAUGAGGAGCAGCUGAUGAGAAGGCAUCGGAAGGAGAAGAAGGAGCUGCAAGCUAAAAUUCAGGGAAUGAAGAACGCCGUUCCCAAAAACGACAAAAAGAGGAGGAAGCAACUCACGGAAGAUGUUGCUAAAUUGGAGAGGGAAAUGGAGCAAAAACACAGGGAAGAACUGGAGCAAUUGAAACUGACUUUCAAGGACAGUAAGAUAGAUUCUGUUGCUGUUAACGUUUCAAACUUGGUACUUGACAGUCAGCCACCUCGGAUUUCAAAAGCACAAAAGAGACGGGUGCCUGCAUAGAAGGAGCUCUGUGUGUUGUCCCCGGUCCCGCUCUGCUCUAACCAGCUGUGUGGCCUUUGGACAUCUUUCUGCGUGCUGUUUCCUCAGAAGAGGAAAGUGAGGGGUUUUGGAUUAGAUGAUGUCUAAGGAGAAGAAGGCUGCAUUGGAAAAGGAGCGGGAAGAAAGGAUAGCUGAGGCAGAGAUUGAGAACUUAUCUGGAGCCAGACAUCUAGAGAGUGAAAAACUUGCUCAGAUAUUGGCAGCCAGAGAACUGGAAAUUAAACAUAUUCCAUCUGACGGUCAUUGUAUGUAUGGGGCACUUGAGGAUCAGCUAAGAGAACAAGACUCUGCUCUGACUGUGGCUACCCUAAGGAGGCAGACUGCUGAGUACAUGCAGAGCCAUUCAGACGACUUCCUGCCAUUCCUAACCAACCCCAACACAGGAGACAUGUACACUCCAGAAGAGUUUGGAAAGUACUGUGACGAUAUUGUAAACACGGCCGCGUGGGGUGGUCAGCUUGAGGUAAGCUGGUUCACA
rnacentral:lncRNA from 1 species